UUUUGACCUCGGAUCAGGUAGGAUACCCGCUGAACUUAAGCAUAUCAAUAGGCCGGAGG
rnacentral:rRNA from 1 species